AAUAAAUAAACUGCAAAUAAAUAAACCCCACUUCCCUCGUUUCCAGACAGACCUCGCAACCUCUGAGGAUGUGGGAGAAACUCAGGAGAGAAUGCUUCUGGAACAUGGCCAUGAAAAACCCACAGCAACUCAUUACUUCCAUGGACUCUAACAGACAGUGGCCAUGCAAGGAGCCUGCUCUCCGUGCACAGACAGGAAACCGUGGAGAGCUUCUGCCUUCACUGAUAACUCUCCCUCUAACAAUUUGGGGCCCUGAGGAAAAUAAAUACCACAGGUCGCCUUUUGAAAAGAAAAAAAACAAAACCCAGCAACAACUUGCUCUCCUAUCUCCCUGGAUACGGGGUCCUUUCGGAUCCAGGCUCCUUCCUUCCUGCUUUGGAGAGCCAGUUCACGCGCCGCCCCUUACUCACCGGUGA
rnacentral:lncRNA from 11 species